UACGUAGGGACCGAGCGUUGUCCGGAUUCAUUGGGCGUAAAGAGCUCGUAGGCGGCCACUCAAGUCGAAUGUGAAACCUCGAGGCUUAACCUCGAGCCUGCAUUCGAUACUGGGCGGCUAGAGUCUGGUAGGGGGAUCUGGAAUUCCUGGUGUAGCGGUGGAAUGCGCAGAUAUCAGGAGGAACACCGGUGGCGAAGGCGGGAUCCUGGGCCGAUACUGACGCUGAGGAGCGAAAGCGUGGGGAGCGAACAGG
rnacentral:rRNA from 1 species